AACUUUGUAACUUUGGAGUUACAACGAGGGUGACUCCUUUCCUAUAGAGAAUCCUUUACUGUUUAUUCACUGUGCACUAAACACUCUAAUUAGUAAUUACUGUGGACUUCAACAGUGAUUCAGCCUUUAUCACUUUCACACGGGUUCUUGCCUAAUUUUGUCUUUGUCACGUUCUAAUUUGUUCUGGCUUUGUCUUGCUGCGUGGCGCGCCUCAGGGGUUUGUUGUGUCAUGAUCAGAGAUCGGUUGGCUCUGUCUUUCUCUCACUGUGUGGCGCGCCUCAGGGGUUUUAUCAAAGGCUUGAUUUGGGUUGUUUGCGCGCAUGGGUUGUUUGUUGAGCUGUUUGUUUAUGGUGUUUCCAGCGGCUGGGUCGCUUGAACUUCUACGCAAGUCAAUGAUGGGUUUUGGUGCCAGUGAUGUUUGUGGCUUGGUCAUGACUGAUUUUCAAAGAAGUGGACCCAUAAGCAUGAUUGUGCAUUAAAUAUUAUGUUCACCUGGCAGGGUUUUGUCUAUCGGACAGCAUUCGAGAAGCUGCUGGUUUCUGGGUUGGAUUAGACCUUUGUUUCAUCUGGACGAAAAUAUUUGGCGCUUUAAGUGUUUCGCACUUUCGAUGUUUUUAUUAUGCUUUUUUUGGCUUUUUUACUGUGACCAGAUCUGUCUUUCACGCUGCCCUAGUUUCGUUCCUUUAAUUUUUCGUUGGGUCUCAUGUCAUUUCCAGUCCUGUUUAAUUGUUUUUUUAUUUGGCUGCCAUGCUUUUUCCUUGGGAUUCCUGCUCCUUCACAUCAUUUUUUUCUUAGGGAGUUUGUUUUCUUUGCAUGCUUCUCUUCUUUGUGUUUUAGGGUGGGUUUUCUUCUCUGAGGUCUGGUGAUUUGGUGUUAGAUUUUGUCUCCCUUUUAUGAUUGUCAUUGUUCUUGAUGAGCAUUUUUUUUUCAUCAUAACCUUCACUAUUUCGAUUUUUUUGGUUCUGUUGUGUCCUUUCUUGAUGUUUUUGAGCGUCGUUUCACUGUUUCAAGUUUCUUUCAUUGAACGUGCAGGCUGAAGUUCUGUGCGUCGUUCCACGAAGGAGCUGGUUAGCUAUCUGUUGGUUGGAACUGAAGCUUUUCUCUUUUGGUGCUCUGUCACAGUUCUUGCUUGGAAAUAAUUUUAUUAUCUGCCAUGUUUAGCACGGGUUAAAGGGCUAGUGGUGCCACUAUGCCAUGAAGAAACAAAAUCAGCUCCAGCUACAGCACCAACAGUUGGUGUACAUAUCGGAUUGAUGUUGCUGUUGAAAAAGUUGUUGGGCAGCAUAUAAAACGGACGAAUGACUAAACAAUCCAUUUGCUCAUCUUACAGUUCCCAUUCCAUCUGGCUAAAAAAUUAUAUCAGCUUCUUUUUCUUGUGCUCCUAAAGGAUGUAAAUGGGUGGCGCACAUGGCCAGGCCAAGAAUGCCCUUGUUUCAGUCUCUUUUGGGGAGCUUCUGAUGUGUGUCGUCUUAGUAUUAUAGCUUAGUCAUGUAUAACGAGCUACUCCUUUACUUCAUUGUUAAGUAGAGGUAUAGAAUUCAUGGCAUGGAAAUGUUACCAGAACAAGAUAAAAAAGCGCAGCUAAACAAAUAAAUAAAGAAAGAUAAGCUGAAGCAACAGUCAA